AGACAUCCAGCCAGUAGGUGGCGAUAAUGAGGUAUUUUUGUGAGGACUAGAGAGAAGAAGAAUAUUGCUGUCUUUGAGGAAGCUAGUAGCUACUGCUUCACACACUCGUUUUUGCUGGCAAACACCAUCUAAUCUUUUCAUUUCAACCUCUUUUUUGUUAGCAAGGACAAUACAGACAAAAGGACAGAAGCAGCAUUUAUGUAUUUUGUUAUGUAAUUCGGUAGAAUGGGAGUUAUUGAUCACAGAGCGAAUGGAGAACCUGAACGUAUUUCUGUUGAUGCCUGCCUGUGUAACUGGUCGGGAUGUAAGCAAAAAACGUGGAUUAUGUGCUUUGAUCAAGAGAACUUCUAAGUGCCAAAAAUCAACGGGAAAAGACGCCCGAGAUCCAGAGGCGAGGGAUUGGAUUGUCAGAAAGCAGAGGCACUAUCCCUCCUUCCCUAGACCGUUCUAGGCUACACAAGAUCCAGAGAAGGGAAGAUUUCUACAACCGAAGAAGAUUCAUGAUCCAGUUUCCACCAACCCAUCGUUCUCCAUCUGGUGUUCUCCAUCUGGCGAAAGAUGAUCCUAUCUGUAAACAAGUUUUCCACUGUUCUUUGUAAAAUAUACAUCACAAUAAUAGAAGAAAAAUGCAUCACAAUGUGUUGAAAUAAAUGAUAUUUUAUUUACAACAAUUUCCCUGUCAUUAUUGAAAUGAAAUAAUAAUAUGUACGACACCAUUUUUUUCUGAUAAUUACACAGCCAUGACACCGAGACAUGUGCUCCAUUGACUGUUAUUUAGAUGUGGUCUUUCAGUCUUUAGGGAA